UACGGGGGGGGCAAGCGUUGUUCGGAAUUACUGGGCGUAAAGGGCUCGUAGGUGGCCAACUAAGUCAGACGUGAAAUCCCUCGGCUUAACCGGGGAACUGCGUCUGAUACUGGAUGGCUUGAGUUCGGGAGAGGGAUGCGGAAUUCCAGGUGUAGCGGUGAAAUGCGUAGAUAUCUGGAGGAACACCGGUGGCGAAGGCGGCCCUCUGGACGGAUACUGACGCUGAGACGCGAAAGCGUGGGGAGCAAACAGG
rnacentral:rRNA from 1 species